rnacentral:tRNA from 1 species
ACUUAUAUAGCUUAUAAAAAGUGCUACAUUGAAGCUGUAGAGAAGGUAAUUUACCUUUAAGUG